AUGCCAGACUCCUACGGGAGGCAGCAGUAAGGGAUAUUGGUCAAUGGGGGAAACCCUGAACCAGCAACGCCGCGUGAGGGAAGACGGUUUUCGGAUUGUAAACCUCUGUUCUCUGUGAAGAUGAUGACGGUAGCAGAGGAGGAAGCUCCGGCUAACUACGUGCCAGCAGCCGCGGUAAUACGUAGGGGGCAAGCGUUAUCCGGAAUUACUGGGUGUAAAGGGAGCGUAGACGGUUAAGUAAGUCUGGAGUGAAAGGCCGGGGCCCAACCCCGGGACUGCUCUGGAAACUAUUUAACUUGAGUGCAGGAGAGGUAAGCGGAAUUCCUAGUGUAGCGGUGAAAUGCGUAGAUAUUAGGAGGAACACCAGUGGCGAAGGCGGCUUACUGGACUGUAACUGACGUUGAGACUCGAAAGCGUGGGGAGCAAACAGGAUUAGAUACCCCUGUAGGU
rnacentral:rRNA from 1 species